rfam:Peptoniphilus sp. oral taxon 375 str. F0436 noncontiguous_finished_chromosome, whole genome shotgun sequence.
GGGCGCAUAGCUCAGCUGGGAGAGCAUCUGCCUUACAAGCAGGGGGUCAUAGGUUCGAGCCCUAUUGCGCCCA